CUGAUUUGUAGGUCUAACCAGCCAGUUGAAUGUGGAAAAAAAGAAAAGUGCACUAUAUAGGCAAGGGUGCAUAUGAUUUGGAACAGGCCUAAUCAUCAAUGCAUGAUGGGAAAAUUUAGGAAAGAUAAGUGAUACAUCCGCAUACAUGUGGCACAAGUUGUUACGUCGAACCGCGCGCGCUGAGUGACACUAAUUAAGUGUAUCACCUGUCCUGGCGUAAUUCUUUGGCACUCCUCUUUACGCACUGCGUUUUGGUUGUUGUUUCUUUCUUUCUUUUUUCUUUCUUAGACGUGGCGUCUGAUCUUUUUUUUUUUUGGUCGCGGUUAGAUUAUGAAAUCACGACAGUUCAGUCUGAAAUCCGACACUUUUUUAGGGAACACUUUUAAUUUCAGUACCUGGCAACGCUGUAGGGGCGGAAACUUCAUAACAGCGCCGAAAUACGCGACUCCAAGAAUACGCGCAACUAAAACCAACCCGAGCUGAACUCUCCGGCAGACCGAACAGAGCCCACAAACCCAAACCCAGGGAGAGUUUCCAUUACAAAAAGAAGAAAAAUGUAGUCUCCAUGCAUGGAUUGUAACUGUCCGAGUUGAGAGGACUUCAGCACGAAUCAUUCAGGCGUGUGAACAUGGACCAAAAAUGACAAAUGCAUCUUCUUGGCACUUCUGUUUUGGUGUUUCUCCUCCUACCUCUCGUCUUCUCCUGCAAAAGCACCAAGAGUAAAGAGGAGAUCUCUCAGGAUUAUGAGUAUAUCAUUCAGAAGCAGCUGGAGCACAUUAACUUGAGUAUUCAGAGACAGGUGGAGUCCUGCGGGGAACGAAAGCUCGUGCUGCAGAAUUUAUUCCCGAUCGAGCGCAUCAGCACCGUGUCCUGCACCCGUUUACCGAGGAACAUAAGUGGUCAGCUGCACACUGAAUUACGGAACCUCGUGAGGGACAUAACGGUAUCGCUGGGAUGUCCCUGUUCUGCAAACCAGACCGAGCAGGCAGAGAGGUGGCCGGACUCCCAGCCUUUACAGAAGAAGUUUUGCCGACUGAAACGUUUGCUCAUGACGAUACAGAAAGCGUACGAACAAUACAACUCGGCUUACUUUGCAUGGCACCUUGUAUAUGAGAGGACAUACACUCAUAACGAAGUGGCGAGUGAAACACGCCCGCUGCUUGGAGAGCAAAAAUCAGCCGGAUGCAGGAUCCAUCAUGAAUCGUACAACC
ensembl:lncRNA